GAUGAACGCUAGCUACAGGCUUAACACAUGCAAGUCGCAGGACUGGCGCACGGGUGAGUAACGCGUAUCCAACCUUCCCAUGACCACGGGAUAACCCGUUGAAAGACGUACUAAUACCGUAUGGUGAUGGCUGGGGAUGCGUCUGUUUAGCUUGUUGGCGGGUUAACGGCCCACCCAGGCGACGAUCAGUAGGGGUUCUGAGAGGAAGGUCCCGCACAUUGGAACUGAGACACUGUCCAAACUCCUACGGGAGGGAGCGGUGAGGAAUAUUGGUAAAUGGGCGAGAGCCUGAACCAGCCAAGUAGCGUGCAGGACGACGGCCUAUGGGUUGUAAACUGCUUUUAUGCGGGGAUAGGUACCGCAUGAAUAAGGACCGGCUAAUUCCGUGCCAGCAGCCGCGGUAAUUC
rnacentral:rRNA from 1 species